UACGGAGGGUGCGAGCGUUGUCCGGAAUCACUGGGCGUAAAGGGCGCGUAGGCGGCCUGAUAAGUAGGGGGUGAAAUCCUGCGGCUUAACCGCAGGGCUGCCUUCUAAACUGUCAGGCUAGAGCACGGUAGAGGCAGAUGGAAUUCCCGGUGUAGCGGUGGAAUGCGUAGAGAUCGGGAAGAACAGCAGUGGCGAAGGCGGUCUGCUGGGCCGUUGCUGACGCUGAGGCGCGACAGCGUGGGGAGCAAACAGG
rnacentral:rRNA from 1 species